UUGAAUCCGAUUUAACUUUCUAAACUUAUUUUUUUAAUUAAAAUAUAAGUUUAAGUUUAAAAAUUAUAUUUCUAAAUUUUAAUUUUAAUUUGAUCUUAAAUUAAAAAUUACAUUCGAUUAAGCAUUUCGAAUCUAAUUUAUAAAUUUAAAUUUAAAUUUAAAUUUAAUUUAAAAAUCUAAUAUUUUAUUCAAAUUUUAUUUUAAAUUUAAAUUAAAUUUAUGGAUUCAAAUUAAAAUUUAAAUUAUAAUUUUAAGUUUGAAUUUGAAUAAAUCAAAAUUUAGUUUUAUAU
rnacentral:lncRNA from 1 species